UGUGUCAUGAGUGCUUUGCAGGGUUGACGUGUUGGAGUCUAGCAGCUGCACCUUGUCAUCCUAAUUACACCUGACUGCUCUUAAGACGUUGUGGGACUCCAACUCAUCGCCAGACUAUCAACGCUCUACGCCGGUGCUCCAAGGUCUGGAAGCAGGCCCGCGCGGCCCUUCUGCCAUGUCUCAGUCCUCUGUGCCACCCCCUCCUCCUCCCUUGGUGGUCUGUGGUCAGCCUGCUUGGGCCGUGGACAGACUCCUGGAUAUGCGUCGCGGCAUCCAGUACCUGGUUGACUGGGAGGGCUAUGGUCCGGAGGAGCGGAGUUGGGUCCCUGCGCGGUUGAUCCUGUGCAAGUCGUUGAUCCGCAACUUCCAUCGUGCCCACUCUGAUUGCUUGGCUCGUGCUCCGGGUGGCGCUCGUGGGAGGGGGGUUACUGUCAGGGCUGCUGUUUCAGCACCCUGAGUCCAGCCCUUGUGUGUGUGUGUGUGUCAUGAGUGCUUUGCAGGGUUGAUGUGUUGGAGUCUAGCAGCUGCACCUUGUUGGAGUCUAGAAGCUGCACCUUGUCAUCCUAAUUACACCCGACUGCUCUUAAGAUGUGGGACUCCAACUCGUCGCCAGACUAUCAACGCUCUACGUCGAUCUGCCAUCUGCCCUUGCUCCCUGCAAACCAGUGCUCACCUCUUGCGGCCCACCGACAACACUGACUCCAACCCUGCCAGACCAGUCCUCUUUGGAACCUUGCCAAUCCCGGAUUUAGUUCUCGGAGUUCCUUUGUUCGCUCCCAAGCUGCA